rnacentral:rRNA from 1 species
GACGAACGCUGGCGGCGUGCCUAAUACAUGCAAGUAGAACGCUGAAGAGAGGAGCUUGCUCUUCUUGGCUGAGUUGCGAACGGGUGAGUAACGCGUAGGUAACCUGCCUUGUAGCGGGGGAUAACUAUUGGAAACGAUAGCUAAUACCGCAUAACAAUGGAUGACCCAUGUCGUUUAUUUGAAAGGGGCAAAUGCUCCACUACAAGAUGGACCUGCGUUGUAUUAGCUAGUAGGUGAGGUAACGGCUCACCUAGGCGACGAUACAUAGCCGACCUGAGAGGGUGAUCGGCCACACUGGGACUGAGACACGGCCCAGACUCCUACGUGAGGCAGCAGUAGGGAAUCUUCGGCAAUGGGGGCAACCCUGACCGAGCAACGCCGCGGGAGUGAAGAAGGGUUUCGGAUCGUAAAGCUCGGUUGUAAGUCAAGAACGAGUGUGAGAGUGGAAAGUUCACACUGUGACGGUAGCUGACCAGAAAGGGACGGCUAACUACGUG